UGGGGAAUAUUGGACAAUGGGCGAAAGCCUGAUCCAGCCAUGCCGCGUGUGUGAAGAAGGUCUUCGGAUUGUAAAGCACUUUAAGUUGGGAGGAAGGGCAGUAAGCGAAUACCUUGCUGUUUUGACGUUACCGACAGAAUAAGCACCGGCUAACUCUGUGCCAGCAGCUGCGGUAAUACAGAGGGUGCAAGCGUUAAUCGGAAUUACUGGGCGUAAAGCGCGCGUAGGUGGUUCGUUAAGUUGAAUGUGAAAGCCCCGGGCUCAACCUGGGAACUGCAUCCAAAACUGGCGAGCUAGAGUAGGGCAGGGGGUGGUGGAAUUUCCUGUGUAGCGGUGAAAUGCGUAGAUAUAGGAAAGAACACCAGUUGCGAAGGCGACCACCUGGGCUCAUACUGACACUGAGGUGCGAAAGCGUGGGGAGCAAACAGG
rnacentral:rRNA from 1 species